UGCGUGUGCGUGUGUGUGCCUGCGUGCGUGCGUGUGUGUGUGUGUGUGUGCAUGCAUGCGUGCGUGCGUGCGUGCGCGUGUGUGUGUGUGUGUGUGUGUGUGUGUGUGUGUGUGUGUGUGUGUGUGUGCAGAGGCAGAAGGAUAUGGGCUAGAGGGACCAGCUGAGUUUUCAAAACUUUCACAGGAGACCGAAAUAGCCCCGAGAGUGUUCACCACUUUAACCGCUCGUGUGUCCUGUCCUUCUGCACGUCCUUUGACUCCCAGAGUGAUCAGUGGGAAGAGGGAAGAGAACAAGAAAGAGAGGGGGAAAAAAUCUGCAAAAGACUGAUGACCCCGGACAUAGUGAAUAAUCGGAAGCCGCGGAGUGAGGAGGGAAGGAGGGACGGAGCGAGGGAGGCAUUCAAAGGGAACAGAGCUAUCCUCAAAGAAUCAUACCAGGUAUUCAACUGCACUGAACACACACGGGACAUCGUAAAAAUGGGAUGGUCCGUUCAUCACUGUCAGAGAGACAGGGUAUCAUAACUGUGCAGCUUGGAUGAGCCUCGUCUCCUACCAUCGUCAUGGGUUGUUGACCCAUCACUGAGGCAGGGAGUCGGGAACAGACAGGAGGGGUUUGUGACUGCAUGGCCACCGCUCCACACUAACGUGUCACUCUGUCUUUAAUUACCAGCCGUUUGACCUGGUCAUAACUCACAGCCAGUCUCUGUCAGCGUGUAUUCUAUGGGCUUGUGUGUGUACUUUUAUUGGCCCCCAUCCUAGUAUAUUGUCAUAUGUGUUGUGUAAAUGUGUAUACCUCAGUGUACGUUGAGAUGAUAACAUGGAUGCUUUUCCAUGAACAGCAUCCUCACCUCUUCCAACCAUGAUACACUAUAUGUAGAAAGAUAUGUGGACACACCUUCAAAUUAGUGGAUUCAUCUAUUUCAGCCACACCCGUUGCUGAGAGUUGUAUAAAAUUGGGCACACAGCUAUGCAAUCUCCAUAGACAAACAUUGGCAAACAAGCUUUGGCUGGGGUGGUGUAAAGCUCGCCACGAUUGGACUCUGGAGCAGUGGAAAUGUGCCGGAACAAGGCUACCUGUCCGAAUGCAGAGUGACACCUGUAAAGUUUGGUGGAGGAGGAAUAAUGGUCUGAGGCUGUUUUUCAUUGUUCAGGCUAGGUCCCUUAGUUAAUCUUAACACUACGGCAUACAAUAACAUUCUAGAUAAUUCUGUGCUUCCAACUUUGUGGCAACAGUUUGUGGAUUAUCCCAUCCUGUUUCAGCAUGACAGUGCCCCUGUGUGCAAAGUGAGGUCCAUAGAGAAAUGGUUUGUCAAGAUCGGUGUGGAAGAACUUGACUGGCCAGAACAAAGCCCUGACCUCAACCCCAUCGCUGACUGCGAGCCAGAACUAAUCAUCCAGCAACAGUGCCCGACCACACUAAUGCUCUUGUGGCUGAAUGGAAGCAAGUCACAGCAGCAAUGUUCCAACAUCUAGUGGAAAGUCUUCCCAGAAGAGUGGAGGCUGUUAUAGCAGCAAAGGGGGGGACCAACUCCAUUUUAAUUCCGUGAUUUUGGAAUGAGAUGUUCUGUUCAACCUGAUUUUCCCUCUCUCUCUCUCUCUCUCUCUCUCCUCUCUUUCCCCUCUCUCUCUCCUCUCUUUCCCCCUCUCUCUCCUCUCUUUCCCCCCUCUCUAUCUCGCUCUUCUCUCUAUCGCUCUAUUUCCGCUCUCAUACCUUGUAUAUAAUCCUCAUGAAAGCGUUGAGGGGCGGAGCAGCGAAGGUCAACCCAGUGAGUCAGUGACUAUGCAGGAUGUGCUAUUGACUCAAUGGAGAGAGAUGGUGGCAUCCCCUCCCUGGUGUGUUUGGGCAGGUCCAGGACCACUUUGGGAUGUGCUUACCUCAGUGGUGUCCCAGAACAGAAUGGGCAAGAUCCCCAGAUAGCUCAACUCUGAUAGAGAGCAUGGGGAACUCUCUGACAGAGUGCAGACACACCUCUUUUCUCCCCUUCCCUUUCUCUCUCUUUCUCUCUCCAUCUCUCUAAUAAGCUCAGAUUUCCCCCAUGAUGAAGCUCACCAUUGCCAAAAACUGCCUUGGACAGCAAACCUGAUCGACUCUGUGCCGCAGGGACCAGAAAAUGAUGGACACAAUUCAAUGGAUAUCAAUCAACAAAGAGGUAUGCAGACGAGGAGACAUACAGUAGAAAGGUAUGCCAAUUGGUAUCGAUAUGUUAUGCAGAUCACAUUUACCAUCGUCCUCCCUGACCUCGUCAAUGAAUAUCCCAUAGGCCUCUACAUUAUGGACAAGACUUCACCCUCCCUAACACCUCUGAAGAAUAUAACAGGGAACCUGUUCGAUCACCAUCCACUACAAAAUCAGUCUGGCUAUGGAUACAGAGAACAUCAACACAUUAACAUCAACAGGCCAGAGGAUAUAACCAUUGGACUUGGUGCUCUGCUGGGAGUUUACCUCAUGUUUGUUUUUGUUUUUAAUUAUGCUUUCCCACUAAAAUCAUAAUACACACUGAGAACUACAA